AUCAAACUGACGAGUCCCAAAUAAAACAAAACGCGCGUCAAACUAGAU
rnacentral:hammerhead_ribozyme from 1 species